UACGUAGGGUGCGAGCGUUGUCCGGAAUUAUUGGGCGUAAAGAGCUCGUAGGCGGCACGGUUAGUCAGGUGUGAAAUCUCCACGCUCAACGUGGAGGGGUCACCUGAUACUGCCGAGCUUGAGUCCGGUAGGGGAGUGCGGAAUUCCCGGUGUAGCGGUGAAAUGCGCAGAUAUCGGGAAGAACACCCGUGGCGAAGGCGGCUCUCUGGACCACAACUGACGCUGAGGCGCGAAAGCUAGGGGAGCAAACAGG
rnacentral:rRNA from 1 species